rnacentral:misc_RNA from 1 species
AAAGUCGUAACAAGGUUUCCGUAGGCGAACCUGCGGAAGGAUCAUUACAAAUAAAGCUGGUAGGAAGUGGGGUCUUGAUCUGUAAGUGGUAGAGCGGACAGUCCGGCUGCCUCCCGAAAUGUCUUACAUGUCCCCACAGCUGCAGCAGCAUAUCACCACUUGAUUAUCUACACUUGUUGCUUUGGGGAUGCUACAAGUGCCCCAAGAGGACCCAACUCUCUUGCAUUUAGUGACGUCUGAGUACUAUAUAAUAUUUAAAA